GUGGGGAAUCUUAGACAAUGGGCGCAAGCCUGAUCUAGCCAUGCCGCGUGAUCGAUGAAGGCCUUAGGGUUGUAAAGAUCUUUCAGUGGGGAAGAUAAUGACUGUACCCACAGAAGAAGCCCCGGCUAACUCCGUGCCAGCAGCCGCGGUAAUACGGAGGGGGCUAGCGUUGUUCGGAAUUACUGGGCGUAAAGCGCACGUAGGCGGAACAGAAAGUCAGAGGUGAAAUCCCAGGGCUCAACCUUGGAACUGCCUUUGAAACUCCUGUUCUUGAGUUCGAGAGAGGUGAGUGGAAUUCCGAGUGUAGAGGUGAAAUUCGUAGAUAUUCGGAGGAACACCAGUGGCGAAGGCGGCUCACUGGUCCAUUACUGACGCUGAGGUGCGAAAGCGUGGGGAGCAAACGGGAUUAGAAACCCUUGUAGUCC
rnacentral:rRNA from 1 species